AAUGUUCCUGGCACAAUCCCGGGGAGGCUGGCUGGGCCCUGCUGGCAGGAGCCCCCUUAGGACUGGGAUCAGGUUGACCCAAACUUCACUGAUCCCCUACUGGGGAUGCUUUGCUUUCCUACAGGAGAAAAGUCAGCUUGUGUGAGGAGAAGGUCAGGGUGGGAGAAGAAGGGAGCCUUCAGCAGAGUGCCUGCAGAGCUUUGCUGCAACCUUCUGCGCUGCAACAAGAGAAAACUGAAGCGUGCCUUUGGCUUUCAGUCCCAAACUGUGGGAUCUUGCAAGCCACAUUCUUAUUUGGGAAGAGAACUAGGGAGCUGAGAGCCAUUGCCUGCUGCCUGCUUGCCACUGAGCUGAACCGUGCAAAGCCUUCUUGAAGAAGGCAACCUAUGUGGCUCUGAGGAACUUCAGCACAUCGCUUUGUCGGGCCGUUACCUGAUCCUCUUCUGCAUCAUGAUAUUGAGCCAAGAGCACCUGGGGGUCAGAGACGGUCUGUUGGGUUCUAUGCUGCAGAGAAAGUCCCUGAUUUUGUGUCCAGCUUGCCACAGCUAAAAAAGCAUGGCUGCUUGGAACCUCUUGAAAUUAAAAUGUAAUUCAAGAAAUAAUGGGAAAGCAUUUCAGCAGCAGAUGUUCACUCUUACUUGAAGACCUUAGCAGCCCAGAGCACAGGAGCCCGUGGCUCCCAGCAAGCUCUGCUCUGCUGCUUCCUCGCUGACCAUGGAGCCUAUUGAAACAAUUUUUUGCUUAAAUCAGCAAAGGGAAAAAACAAAAUCCCCAAACUAUCAAAAGAAAAUAAAAGGUCUCCUAAUGGUCCCUAGUGUUAUCUGAAAUGAAGAAAAAUGAUCUCCAGAUCCUUUGUGGACAGAUGUGUUUAUAACUGAUGCUAAUCUUCAAGUCAAACUAAUCUGCAUUCUUCAGAGAGGGAAAGAAAAUAUUUUUUUCCCCAAAAUGUUUACACAUUGCCUGAGCUUGAUGUAUUAUCAUUACAGUGGCAUGGACAGCUGGUAUUUCCAUUCCUAAUAUCUGGGCAGCAGAAAAAGUGAGCAAGUAGCUUUAAAUACUAGUUGAAGCAGAGCAAACCAUGGAAGGAACAAAUAAUUUUUUUCCCUUGAAUGGAAUAUUUUUCAAUAAUUUUCAACACAUCUGGUGCAAAUGAGUCUAAAAUUCAGGACUGGGGAGGGAAUUUCCUUUGGGUCAGAUUUAAUAUUUUGGUAGAUAUGAAGUAUGAGGAUUACAAGGGAGUGGUCUUUCAGUAUCUACAG